UACGUAGGGGGCAGGCGUUGUCCGGAAUUAUUGGGCGUAAAGAGCGUGUAGGCGGCCAGAUAAGUCCGCUGUGAAAUCUCGAGGCUCAACUUCGAGCUGUCGGUGGAAACUAUCUGGCUAGAGUCCGGAAGAGGAGAAUGGAAUUCCUGGUGUAGCGGUGAAAUGCGCAGAUAUCAGGAAGAACACCCGUGGCGAAAGCGGCUCUCUGGAACGGUACUGACGCUGAGACGCGAAAGCGUGGGGAGCGAACAGG
rnacentral:rRNA from 1 species